GGCUUUCUUCGCGGCGGAGCUCGACCGCCCACAACGGUGAUCGUGGAGUUCAUCGACGAGCACAAGGACGAGUUCGGGGUCGAGCCGAUCUGCCGUGAUCUGCAGGUCGCCCCG
rfam:Actinotalea ferrariae CF5-4 contig1, whole genome shotgun sequence.